GAAAUGCGAUAAGUAAUGUGAAUUGCAGAAUUCAGUGAAUCAUCGAAUCUUUGAACGCAACUUGCGCUCUCUGGUAUUCCGGAGAGCAUGCCUGUUUGAGUGUCAUGAAAUCUCAACCAUUAGGGUUUCUUAAUGGCUUGGAUUUGGACGUUUGCCAGUCAAAUGGCUCGUCUUAAAAGAGUUAGUGAAUUUAACAUUUGUCUUCUGGCGUAAUAAGUUUCGCUGGGCUGAUAGUGUGAAGUUUGCUUCUAAUCGUCCGCAAGGACAAUUCUUGAACUCUGGCCUCAAAUCAGGUAGGACUACCCGCUGAACUUAA
rnacentral:misc_RNA from 2 species